rnacentral:rRNA from 1 species
UACGUAGGGUGCGAGCGUUAAUCGGAAUUACUGGGCGUAAAGCGUGCGCAGGCGGUUCGCCAAGUCAGGUGUGAAAUCCCCGGGCUUAACCUGGGAAUUGCGCUUGAAACUAGCGGGCUUGAGUGCGGCAGAGGGGGGUGGAAUUCCACGUGUAGCAGUGAAAUGCGUAGAGAUGUGGAGGAACACCGAUGGCGAAGGCAGCCCCCUGGGCCAACACUGACGCUCAUGCACGAAAGCGUGGGGAGCAAACAGG